UACAAGGAAGUAGCGGUACAUGAUAUGUAUCAGAGAUUAUAAUAGUUUGUGUUUUUUAUUUGCUAUAGAAGCAAGCAGGAAUAUUUAGAUUAACUUGUCAAGGAUCUGUGUGCUUAUUAUAGCUACAAUGAAUCCCUAAUGGAGAAACUACUGUAGCUUUUCCUCAUGAGAUAUCAGAAUUUUUGGAAGCCAAUGAAGUACAAAGACCGGUGACAAUUCGUACAAAUACACUGAAAAACAGGAGACGGGACCUAGCACAGGCGAGGAAGAGAAAACUCGGGUUGCAGCUGAGAUGGCAGAGUCUGUGAACAUUUCUGAUGAGGGCAAGAAAGAAAAGGAGGGAGAGAGGGACAGCAAAGCAGCUGAAGACAAGAAGGAAGGGUCACCAGUCAAAAAAG